UGAGGAAUAUUGGGCAAUGGGCGAAAGCCUGACCCAGCAACGCCGCGUGAGGGACGAAGGCCUUCGGGUUGUAAACCUCUUUUCUGAGGGAAGAGAUCAGGACGGUACCUCAGGAAUAAGUCUCGGCUAACUACGUGCCAGCAGCCGCGGUAAGACGUAGGAGGCGAGCGUUAUCCGGAUUUACUGGGCGUAAAGCGCACGCAGGCGGCUUCGUUAGUCGGAUGUGAAAGCUCCUGGCUUAACUGGGAGAGGCCAUUCGAUACUGCGAGGCUUGAGGUUGGAAGAGGAGUGUGGAAUUCCCGGUGUAGUGGUGGAAUGCGUAGAUAUCGGGAGGAACACCUGUGGCGAAAGCGGCACUCUGGUCCACACCUGACGCUGAGGUGCGAAAGCGUGGGGAGCAAACA
rnacentral:rRNA from 1 species